CUCCCACCGGCUACUGGGUAGGCCGAGGCAGCUCCUGGCCUCUAGCUGCUGGCAGCCUAUGGCCCUGUAGCAAGUCACUGGGCAAUGCCACCCCCCUAGGAAAAGCUGCACAAUGGAUGAAGCUGUUAUUGAUCAUCAAGAGGCCAGGGCAUGGGCUUGGCUGGGUGAGUGAACAGUCAGCCCUGGACCACCAGGGUCCCGCAAUCUCCAACCCAGGCCUCCUGCCUGCCUCCUGGACACCCCUAAUACCCCAGAACCAGAACAGUCACAACCAGGCUAGUAGGUGGAGGGGCACUGUCCUCAAACCCACCUGUCUGGGAUUGUCCCUGAGGCAGGAGGCAGCAGGGAGGUGCCCCCAGCAAGCCUUUAAGAAACUGGAAGAGCAAGUGGAGUGGCCGCUUGCCCUGUGUGAAGGGCUCUGCAGGGUGAUAAGUGACUGAAGGGCUUGCUUGCUCUGUGACCCCCACUCUAUGUGCGGGGGAGGGUAGUGGCUGCCAGGCCACAGGGGGGCGAGUAGGGGAAUGCUUCUCCAGUGAUGCUCCCUCCCCUCUCCUACUGUCUUUCCCCCACCACCUGUAGUCUCUGUAGUCUCUAACACAGAGAUCAUCUCCAUCUGUCACCUACCCCCAACCCAGGUUUACCCAGUUUGGUACAUGUACAUACACACUGUUCUAGAAUGUUCCUUAGCUUUCAGAGCCUUCCUUUUGCAGGGUUGUCUUCCUAAGAACAUCUGUCAAGGGCUCAAAUGGUCUUAAGUACCAUUUGCUGGACACCAGAGUGUCCCAGGACUGAGGCUCGCUCUUCCCGACUUGUCCAAUAAGCCUCCGAGGUCGCGUGUGUGCAUUCCAGAUCAGCCAAAGAUCAGGGCCUUGCUCUGCCACCCUGCAGGGUGUGCUCAGUGAGCCAGACCCCAAGACCUCCACGUUUCCAGGGCCCCUCUCACAUCAACACAGUCUCCUUGAAUUCAGAGGUAACUAACCUCUGCAAAGGCCCGGCCUGGUGGGACCUCGUACGUGCUGAAGGCCCCUGACCAGCAAGGCCAAAAGGCCAUGGCUGUCCCAUCCCCCUUUCCCCCACCCGCUGUCGGAGCCCGCACCAGCACCAGCCUAUCUCCAGCACGUUUCCGCCUCCGCACACGAGAGAUCGGUCCCUAGAGGCUCCUUCCGGGAUCCGCCGGCCGCCCCCUCUCCCUCCCCCUCCGUUUCCACCCACCCCUCCCAGAGAACUCCAGGCCUAUCUAGCCAACAUCCGGGGUACCCAAGACCCUUGGGACCCACCAUCCAACCCAAGCUGCUCGCCGACCGCGCCCAUCCCUACUCCACUCGGAAGAAAACAAGAGCGGUUCAAAGGCGAAGUCCUUCGAAGAGGUGUGUGCAAGUCUGGAGGCCCAGACCUGGGCGAGGUCCAGCGUCGCUGGUGCAGAGGAGGCGGCGGGUAGCCUUUCUGGAAGCCAAAGAAGCCUCUACGUGGGGAAAGCUGAGGCCAUGGGGAGACACCCAGAGAGGAGAGCUGAUCCCUUUGGGGUUCUGGAAGUGCAAAGCGUGUGCAGGCUGGGCUGCUGGCCAUGUGGUGACAGAGAAGCAGGAAGAUGGAGCUGCUGCAACUCCCCCUCCGGAAUGUCUGUCUGACCAGGACCUGGAGCCAUCCUAGAAUGAGCAGAGGGCACAUGGGAGAGGUGCCUAUGGUGGCCCUACCAGGUGGCCCCAGGGAUGAGGAGAUGGCAGGAACAGGGACGUCCAGAAGAGAGCCGGCCCAAGGAAACCAGGUGGAAGGGGGUAGCCAGGUGACUGGCCCAGAGAGCCUUGAGCUUGGGGCUCUAAAGGUCAGAGCAAGACCAGAUGGUGAGGCCCCUGGGAGAACCCCAAAGUGGGCGGCACGGGCAGCCUCAGGCUGAAAUCUGUCCAGCCAUCCCAGGAGAGAAGGUCGCUGGAAAUGUGAAUCUGGAGCAGGUUGAGUCAGGGGGUCUUCCCUGGGGUCAGCCUGCAGGGAAAAGGAGGAUGUGGAAAUGUUAGAAAGAGGAGGGGCACUCCACUAGAGACCCAGGAGGAGCGGUCAGGUCAGAGAGGAGGGACCCAGUGUGGCUGGUGUCACUGAAGCUGAAGGAAGAAAGAGUUUCAAGAAAGAAAGAAAGCUGGUCUGUACUAUGCAGCCCAUUCAGAAAGCGGAUCCAUCGAUCCGAGUGGCCCAAGAGACCCGAAGCUUCUAGCCCCGCCAUCCCCUCCCUGCGCGCCCCCC